CUAGUACUCCCUCCGUUCCGAAUUACUUGUCUUAGAUUUGUCUAGAUACGAAGGUAUCUAGCACUAAAAUGAGUCUAGAUACAUCUGUAUCUAGACAAAUCCAAGACAAGUAAUUCGGAAUGGAGGGAGUAGGAA
rnacentral:pre_miRNA from 1 species